UCACAAAGGACUUCCCACUUCCCCUCAUGGAAGACUUCAAUGUUCCCAUCACAGGGGCUCUGGCCAUCUACAAGCCUUUCCAUUGCCUUUGGCUGGGAGCCUGAAAAAAAGACAACAGGGACUGCUUGGCAGGAAUGAAGGAUGAAGGAGAAAAUGAAAAGAUCAAGGUUAAAACCGAUGGCAAGCCAAGGACAGAGGGAUCUCCACAGCCCAAUUUUGAGCAGAUGAUCCUGGCUAGCUCUUUCUGGUCUUCUGGACGUGACUCCACUGUUCCCCAGUGACCUUCCUUGUACAGCUCCACAAUCCCUGAGCAGGUG